UACGUAGGGUGCGAGCGUUGUCCGGAUUUACUGGGCGUAAAGAGCGCGUAGGCGGUUCGUUAAGUGUAGAGUGAAAUCUCUGGGCUCAACCCAGGGCCUGCAUCGGAAACUGUCGGGCUUGAGUAUGGGAGAGGUGAGUGGAAUUUCCGGUGUAGCGGUGAAAUGCGUAGAUAUCGGAAGGAACACCUGUGGCGAAAGCGGCUCACUGGACCAUUACUGACGCUGAGGCACGAAAGCUAGGGGAGCAAACAGG
rnacentral:rRNA from 1 species